ACCUGGUCUACUGAGGCUUUAUCUGCUUUCGAAACGCUCAAACAGUCUUUUGCCUCAGCACCUGUAUUAGUUCAUCCUGAUACCUCUCUACCCUUUUUACUUGAAGUUGAUGCGUCUGAAACAGGGAUAGGCGCAGUGUUGUCCCAAAGACAAAGUUUAGAUAAGCCGCUGCACCCUUGCGGUUUUUUUUCCAAGAAACUAUCACACACUGAAAGGAGAUAUGACAUUGGUGAUAGAGAACUGUUAGCUAUCAUUAUGGCAUUAAAGGAAUGGAGACAUUUGUUAGAGGGCACUGUCCUCCCAGUUACUAUCUUAACUGACCACAAAAAUUUAUCGUAUAUGGGGGAGGCCAAAAGAUUAUCUGCCAGGCAGGCACGUUGGUCUAUGUUCCUUACACACUUUUAUUAUAUGCUUACUUACAGGCCUGGUUCUAAGAACACUAAGGCAGACGCUUUGUCACGUCAGCACGAACCUAUCACCUCUACAGAGGACACUUUGUUCCCUAUUAUUCCUGAAGUCAAUAUUAUCGCCAACACCAAUGUCAAAAUACACUCUCCAUUGCUCGCUGAUAUUAUGAACGAACAAUCUCUUGCUCCCGAACGUACUCCUGUGGGCCGCUUGUUCGUGUCUCCCAAAUUCCAAGUGGACAUUAUUCGCUGUUUUCACGAUAGCAAGUUCGCUGGUCACCC